ensembl:lncRNA
GGGACUGGGAUAUACUGGGAGGGACUGGGAGGGACUGGGAGGGACUGGGAGUUAGACUGGGAGGGACUGGGAGGGACUGAGAGGGGCUGGGAGGGACUGGGAGUCAUACUGGGGUAUACUGGGAGGGACUGGGAUAUACUGGGAUAUACUGGGAGGGACUGGGAGGGACUGAGAGGGGCUGGGAGGGACUGGGAGUCAUACUGGGGUGUACUGGGACGGACUGGGAGGGACUGGGAGGGACUGGGAGUCAUACUGGGAUAUACUGGGAGGGACUGGGAGG